AUGAGGAGGGAACAGAAUGCCGUGUGAGCUAUGACUCAUUGACUUUGGGGAUUCCCGUUAACCUCGGUAAUCUUCGCGGAUGCCUUCUUGAAACGAUGAAUGAAUAUCAAAGAGUAUUGGAUUGAUGCCUCUUUCUCCGCAACAUGCGACGGUUUUCAGAGACAUCCUCCACUGUACCCACCACACCAACCUCCGACGCGGCCAUGCUCUCCACGCCCGAACCCUCCGUAACGGUUCUUUCUUCUCCUCCACUCACCUCGCCAACGCCAUCCUCCUCCUCUACGCCAAGUCCGGCUUCCUUUCCAAAGCCACCCUCAUCCUCCACUCCAUCCCCACCACCACCAGAGACAUUGUCUCAUGGAACUCCCUCAUCAAUGCCCUCUCCAGGAACAAGUCUCACUCCUCCUCUGUUUUCUCACUCUUCCGCCUCAUGACAAGAACUCAUCACAUGGAGCUCCCUAACGCCCACACCUUCGCCGGUGUCUUUACCGCCGUUGCCAACACCUCUGACUUCGUCGCUGGCCGUCAGACCCAUGCCCUCGCCGUCAAGACGUCAUGCCUUCGUGAUGUUUAUGUUGGGAGCUCGCUGCUUAACUUUUAUUGCAAAAUGGGUCUUGUACUUGAUGCCCGCAAGGUGUUUGAUACAAUGCCUGUGAGGAACGAGGUUUCUUGGUCGACGGUGAUUUCCGGAUAUGCUUCGUUAGAGAUGGUUCAUGAGGCUGUGGAGCUCUUUGGGGCCAUGAAUUGUGAAGAAGGGGAGGUUGUUAAUGAGUUUGUGUUUACAAGUGUUCUUAGUGCGUUGACUAGGGGUGAGUUUGUGGACAUUGGUAGGCAGGUUCAUUCCCUUGCUAUCAAGAAGGGGUUGCUUUCGGUUAUCUCCGUGGGCAAUGCUCUUGUGACCAUGUAUGCUAAGUGUGGGACCCUGGAUGAUGCGCUAAGGACGUUUUAUUUGUGCGGGAAGAAGAAUUCGAUCACUUGGUCGGCCAUGGUUACUGGUUAUGCUCAGAGUGGGGAUUCUGACAAGGCUCUGAGGUUGUUUUAUGAUAUGCAUCAUUCUGGGGUGAUGCCAAGUGAGUUUACUCUUGUGGGGGUGAUCAAUGCUUGCAGUGACCUUUGUGCUAUUGCAGAAGGGAAACAAAUGCAUGGUUACUCAGUGAAGUUGGGGUAUGAAUUGCAGUUGUACGUUUUAUCGGCUUUGGUGGACAUGUAUGCAAAAUGUGGUAGCAUAGAGGAUGCUCGGAAGGGUUUCGAGUAUAUAGAACAGCCCGAUGUUGUUCUCUGGACCUCUAUCAUAACAGGAUAUGCUCAAAAUGGGGAUUUUGAAGGUGCUCUGAAUCUGUACUGCAAUAUGCAGAUGGACGGAGUUGACCCCAACGAGCUAACUAUGGCGAGUGUUCUUAAAUCCUGUUCUAGUUUAGCUGCUUUAGAUCAGGGGAAGCAAAUGCAUGCUCGCAUUAUUAAGUAUGGUUUCAAAUUAGAAGUUCCAAUUGGAAGUGCUCUUUCUGCCAUGUAUGCUAAGUGCGGAAGUUUGGAUGAUGGGUACCGUAUAUUUUGGAGGAUGCCUAACCGAGAUGUAAUUUCUUGGAAUGCAAUGAUAUCUGGACUGUCUCAAAAUGGUCGUGGUAAAGAAGCCUUGGAGUUGUUUGAGAUGAUGUGCCAGGAGGGAACAAAGCCGGACACAGUCACAUUUGUGAAUCUUCUCUCUGCCUGCAGCCAUAUGGGUCUAGUGGAUAGAGGCUGGGCUUAUUUCAAAAUGAUGUCUGAUAAAUUCAGCAUUGAUCCAACAGUAGAGCAUUAUGCCUGCAUGGUUGAUAUCUUGAGCCGUGCCGGUAAACUCAAUGAAGCAAAGGAAUUCAUUGAAACAGCAACAAUUGAUCAUGGUUUUUGUUUGUGGCGCAUAUUGUUAGGGGCCUGUAGGAACUAUCGUAACUAUGAUAUAGGUGUCUAUGCUGGUGAGAAACUAAUGGAGCUAGGCUCACCAGAAUCAUCUGCUUAUGUAUUGUUAUCAAGCAUAUAUAUAGCUUUAGGAAAGAAGGAUGAUGUAGAACGUGUAAGGAGAAUGAUGAGUGACCGAGGGGUGACUAAAGAACCCGGGUGUAGUUGGAUUGAGUUGAAGAACUUGGUUCAUGUAUUUGUUGUUGGAGAUGAUAUGCAUCCAAAGAUUCAUGAAAUACGGUCACAGUUAAGGUUAUUGACCAAAUUGAUGAAAGAUGAAGGAUAUCAACCUCUUUCAGAUCCAUUGCCUGCAACUAUCAGAAAUGAUUUGAAAGAUCAUGAAGACAGUGAAGGGAUACCACUCAUGGUUUGUUCUAGCAUGUAACAUGAAUAGGAGGAUGAUCAACUGAUUAUUAUUUAAUUAGUCAUUGCUCUUUCUCUGGUUAAAUGCUGGCAUGAAUCAAUGAAUAGGAACCAGAUAACGAAGCACCAUCGUUCAAUCAGAUUCAGAGAGAAGUUUUGAAGAGCUUCUUGAGAAAUUUUAUUGGGCUUGCACUUGCAGUGGCAAAUCAUGAGAAAUUAUGAACCAGAAUUGCUUAUUAAUAGAGCUUUACAGUAAUAUGGAAUGAAGGCAAGCGAGAAAGAAGUGAGGACUUCAAAAUGGAGUACAAAUAUUCUCAUAUUGCCUCUAUAGUACAGAAGGAUGGAACUGUGGUUCUCUGAUUGUAUUAUUGAACCAUAUAAACAAGUUGAUGAGAAAUGUAUCACUGAUAACAAGUUUGCUAUGUCUGUUUUUUCUUUUUUGGUGUAAUUAACUGAACGUUCAUCUGCUAAGUGCUAACUAACAUUAUGCUGCUUUCCGCCAUCUUUCAGAGGAAUAAGAUUUGUGACCGAUGCUGUCAUGACUCAUGAACACACUUGUUUUUCAGUCCUCCUGUCAUCAUUACUCAGAACUUGUUAAAAAAAUAUUUUCCUUCGUUAAUAUGGAAAUCACCAUAUUAAAUCAUCUGUGA